UCAGGUUGAUGGUCCUAUCCUUGUUCUCUCAGAGGGUCAAGGCUGUUUCUCUCCUGGACAUGUCGCCAUUCUCCACCCAGGCCUGACCUGAAAUCUUUGACAACCUGUUGAGGGCCACAGCCAAGUCGGGAUGAUGCAUGGCAUCUUGCCAGAAGGGAGUGGUUGAGAGGUGAUGCCAGGGAGCCAUUGAGAUUGAUGGUUAUGUUAAGCUGUGUAUUCAAUUGUAUAUAGCCCCCUGCUGUCCGCCUUGGGCACCCACUACUUUGGAGUUCUCUCGGGGAUUCCUGGGGAGUUUGAGUUGGUGGGUGGAGUUCCAGUGGAAGGAGUUCCGGUUGGUGUGUGGUGUGCCUGGAAGGGCCGCGUGGGUGGAGUUCACGUGAGUUUGGAAAUAAAAUUUGUUCCUGCUUGA